rnacentral:rRNA from 1 species
CAGUCGCCACGGUAAUACGGAGGGUGCAAGCGUUAUCCGGAUUUAUUGGGUUUAAAGGGUCCGUAGGCGGAUCUGUAAGUCAGUGGUGAAAUCUCACAGCUUAACUGUGAAACUGCCAUUGAUACUGCAGGUCUUGAGUAAAUUUGAAGUGGCUGGAAUAAGUAGUGUAGCGGUGAAAUGCAUAGAUAUUACUUAGAACACCAAUUGCGAAGGCAGGUCACUAAGAUUUAACUGACGCUGAUGGACGAAAGCGUGGGGAGCGAACAGGAUUAGAGACCCCAGUAGUCCCUGUCUCUUAUAC